rnacentral:pre_miRNA from 1 species
CGUUAAAAACUUCAUCCACUUGUACUAUUAAAAACUAACAAAAUCAACACAAUAACCAAAAAAUAACACGUGACAUGCUACGUGUACAUCAUGCUAACGUACAAAACUAAUUUUUAACAAUAGAAAUUGAUGAAUUUUUAACA